UCUUUCUCCUCAGCCCUUUCACCUCUACCAAAUCUCCUUCUACUCUCACUCUAUGAAAAAUAUAUUUUUAAUUUUUGUAUUUUAUUAUUUAUUUAUUUGAUCAUUGUUUCGUAAUUUUUUUUAGAACAAAUUAAGUAAUAAUAUUACAGGACCAAAAACAAAACAAAAAAUAUUUUUUUCAAUUUUAUGAACACUAAUAUUAUCACUAUUUCUUAAACUAAACACUGACUAUAUCUUAAACCGAACACCAGUACUAUCACUAUUUCUUACACUGAACACGAGUAUUAUCACUAUUUCGUAAACUAAACACUGACUAUUUAUUAAACGAACACUAGUAUUAUCAUUGUUUUGUAAACUAAAUACCAACUAUUUCUUAAAUGGAACACUAAACAUUGACUAUUUUUUAAACAGAACACUAGUAUUAUCACUAUUUUGUAAACUAAACACUGACUAAUUUUUAAAACGAACACUAAUUGUGACAACCCGUCCCUAAUUCUAUGUUUUUACAAAUUUUAAAAGCAUGAUUUUACGAAAAUGCCCUAAGAGGCGAGGGUAUUGACUUUCGUUGAUCAACGUAUAGUGAGGUGUAUGAAUUAAUCCUUUAGUAUUUUCCUGAAGUACU
rnacentral:lncRNA from 1 species